rnacentral:misc_RNA from 1 species
AAGUCGUAACAAGGUUUCCGUAGGUGAACCUGCGGAAGGAUCAUUAUUGAAUUCAAAUGCUGACGCUGAAGCUGGCUCGUCAAGAGCAUGUGCACGGCCGACGCAACAUAUUCAACCACCUGUGAACUUAUUGUAGAUCUGAGAAUAAUCUCUCAAGGAAACUUGGAUGGUAGAGCUUGUUGGCUUCUCAAGAAGUCGACUGCCCUUGCUUCUCAGGUCUAUGUUUUUCAUAUACCCCGUAAUACGUUACAGAAUGAAAAAUGGCUUGUAUGAGCCUUUAACCUUAUACAACUUUCAACAACGGAUCUCUUGGCUCUC